UUACGACCAUAGCACGAUGAAGCACCGAUUCCCGUACGAUUACUAAUGUUAAGCAAGGUCGAUACUGAUGAGUACCUAGAUGGGGGACCGUUUGGGAAUGCUAG